rnacentral:lncRNA from 1 species
GAGCAAAAUAUUUGAAAUGUAAGUGUGAAUAUGUCAAACUCAAUCACACUAUUAUGUAUAUCUAUAACACAUUAAUAAAAAACAGAAGGGGCUUGGGCUGUAGCUGAGUGGCAGAGUAUUUGCCUAGCAAGUGUGAGACACUGGGUUCAAUUCUUAGCACCACAUAAAAAAUAAAUAUAUAAAGAAAAUAAAGUGUUGCUGUCCAUCUACAAUACAAAAAUAUUAAAAUAAAAAGAGAAAAAAAUCACUAGUAAAAGGAAGCAAUCACAAAAAAAGUGUAAAUAAAAUAUUGGAUUAAAUUAAUUCAGUUAGAUGUGGAAAAAAUCAUUUGUUUGCAUGCAAAUUACUGAAUUUUGGAAAAUUUGCUAUUGAUAAUAAUGAGUCUCAAGCAUAGAGAAUAUCAGAGUUUGGCUUGCUUACUCAGUCCUUUCCAACGCAAAUAAAUAUGUGAGGAUGGUCUGGGAUGGGAAUAAUUCACAGUAAAUACAGCCACUUAGAAAUCUUUUGCAAUUCUGGUGGUUAGAAUCAUUGGCUGUUUAUAUAAGAUAGCCAGAGGAAGAAGUAGAGAACAAUGAAAAAUGAUAGAAAACAAUAGAAUUUAAUGAUUACUAGUACAAUUUUAUGGAAAACAUGAAAUUUAGAGAGUUACGGAAUAACAACAAAGAAGAAGAGGACAUUGGAGUAAAAGACUAAUAGGCAGUAGCAGAAUUUAGUUACUGCUAUUCUAUAAAACUUAUGCAAAAUUAGAAGAAAUAUAGCCAUUUUCCAUUCACCUAAUAUACUCUAAUCACUAAAUGUAGGUUUUAGUCAAGCAUGAAUGGAAUAUUUUUGAAUAUAACAAUAGGUAUUUCUAAGUUAAUUUUUGUAAGACCAAGUUCUUAGUUCAGGACUGCAUUCCGAUUUUAUGCUGUUUAAGAGAAGAAUAAACAUCUGUCCAUCUAAAAGAAGCAAUUGUGUAGUGUGUGUGGGACCCUAUGUGGGAUCCAUUCAGUUUGAACACUGAGUUUUCAGAGGUUGCUGGGGGUGAAUACAUUCACAUUAAGAAAAUGGCACUGAUAUUUGAGGCUCAGAAUAUUUAUUGUGAAUAAAGGAUACAAGUAGA